rnacentral:rRNA from 1 species
GAUGAACGCUGGCGGCGUGCCUAAUACAUGCAAGUCGAGCGAACAGAUGAGGAGCUUGCUCCUCUGACGUUAGCGGCGGACGGGUGAGUAACACGUGGAUAACCUACCUAUAAGACUGGGAUAACUUCGGGAAACCGGAGCUAAUACCGGAUAAUAUAUUGAACCGCAUGGUUCAAUAGUGAAAGACGGUUUUGCUGUCACUUAUAGAUGGAUCCGCGCCGCAUUAGCUAGUUGGUAAGGUAACGGCUUACCAAGGCAACGAUGCGUAGCCGACCUGAGAGGGUGAUCGGCCACACUGGAACGGAGACACGGUCCAGACUCCUACGGGAGGCAGCAGUAGGGAAUCUUCCGCAAUGGGCGAAAGCCUGACGGAGCAAUGCCGCGUGAGUGAUGAAGGUCUUCGGAUCGUAAAACUCUGUUAUUAGGGAAGAACAAAUGUGUAAGUAACUAUGCACGUCUUGACGGUACCUAAUCAGAAAGCCACGGCUAACUACGUG